UGAUAGUUUUACUGUAGAGAGAUUUGAAGGAAAUGAAGUAGAAAAUUCGUAUGUUGAAAGGGGUUUUGAAGAAGAGAGGAAGACAAGCAAGCUUGAUGAACAUGCUGGUUUUGUUGACUUUGUUCCGGUAAUCCAUGAGAGCAAUUGUGAAAUUCAGUUUGAGAAGGGCGAUGUUAAGGAGUUUGAGAAGGUCGGUAUUGAGGAAUUUGAGAAGGGUGGAGUUGUGGAGUUUGAGAAGGGUGA
rnacentral:misc_RNA from 1 species